AUACGUAGGGGGCUAGCGUUAUCCGGAUUUACUGGGCGUAAAGGGUGCGUAGGUGGUUUCUUAAGUCAGGAGUGAAAGGCUACGGCUUAACCGUAGUAAGCUCUUGAAACUGGGAAACUUGAGUGCAGGAGAGGAAAGUGGAAUUCCUAGUGUAGCGGUGAAAUGCGUAGAUAUAUGGAGGAACACCAGUGGCGAAGGCGGUUGCCUGGCCUGUAACUGACGCUGAAGCACGAAAGCGUGGGGAGC
rnacentral:rRNA from 1 species